rnacentral:rRNA from 1 species
UACGUAGGUGGCAAGCGUUGUCCGGAUUUAUUGGGUUUAAAGGGUGCGUAGGCGGACUGUCAAGUCAGCGGUAAAAUACGGGGGCUCAACCUCCGCCCGCCGUUGAAACUGACGGUCUUGAGUGGGCGAGAAGUAUGCGGAAUGCGUGGUGUAGCGGUGAAAUGCGUAGAGAUAUGGAGGAACACCAGAGGCGAAGGCGGCUAACUGGACUGUAACUGACGCUGAGGCACGAAAGUGUGGGGAGCAAACAGG